rnacentral:lncRNA from 1 species
CGGCCCAGGCAGCUGCUGGCCUGUCCGACCCUCCGCGCUGGGGCCGGUUGGGGUCCCCGCUGUUGGAGGAACGGAGGAAUCAAGCUCCUCUUCAUGGUCGAGGAGACCGGAAUACCAGCUGUGGUUUCUGUUCCCUUCAAUCUAUGAGAAAAAUACAUCUUCCUAAUUAAAAACAAGCAAGGGCUGGGGAUUUAGCUCAGUGGCACCAUGCCUGCCUCACAAACAAGGCCCUGAAUCUGAUCACCAAUACUGGAAAAAGCAAAAACAAAAUUCAAGCAGACCACAGUUAAUCCAGAUCAUUUAAAUUAAAUGUUAUUUUGAUAUUCUCAUGUUCACUUUCUCUUGCUUACUAGAAGCUUCUAGUUAUUCCUCUCAC